GUGCACAGGAAAAUCUGACCUAAUGGCAAAGGAAUGCAUCCCCCUCCUCCAAGCAAACACAAAUGUGUAUCUAGUUAUCAAAGAACUGUCCAGAAGGGUUAGCAGGCUCUGGUGUGUGGAGCCCACUGACCUGUCACUCACCAGCCCCGAAGGUUCAGAUAGGAACUCAAAGGACAUAGGAGUGGAAACAAUAGUGGGAUUUUGGUUUUGUUUUUUUUAAGAGUGAGAUACUGGAAGCUGGCUCCCAUUCCGUGGCGACGGGCCUUCCUUUAAAUGUAACCAGCAGCGAGAGCUGAGAAUGACUGCCAUACUUGAAUGCCAAAUAAACACAAAAUGACAAGCACAGAUUUUUGGCUUUAUAUUAAAGCUUGGUUUUUCAACAACCCCUUUUGUUGCCUCUAAAGACAAUGGUCACAGUGUUUCUGCGCCAGAUCCUGGACCUCUGAGCAUAGGCUCUCUCGCCGCACCCAACCCCAGUUCCCUCCACAAGCACGGCUGAACAACAAUUUAUAUAAGUGGAUGGAACCAGUGGGCUUUCCGCUCUCCUUCCCACCUAAUAGUUAAAACAGUCCUCAAAUUCUCUUACAGAGCCGAGUAAAUAUCUCAGAUGUUUACACAGCCAGGAUUUUCUGAACGAAGGGAAACAGCAAGCUCCAAACCACAGCCAUAAGGAUUCCUCUGGUUUAAUCUGUUCAAAGGCCUGGGCCGUGACCUUCCUCCACCCGCUUCCUGGGGCUUCUUCAACAGCAGCAGACAUGCCUUUGAUCAGAAUUUCAGUUCGGCUACCAGCUGGAUGCACAUUCCCAACGCCCCAGUGCUUUGCUUUCUGGCUGCCCAGAGUGAUCCCACCGCCCAGAGAAGGAAGCAAGGACAUCAGAGCAAAUCUUGGCCCCUUUUGCAGCAGAGAGAAUGCUUUUUGGAAUCUCAUACUGGAACCCUGAAAGAUCUCCCCAUGCGGAGAUAUAUCUACACAACACACGCACACACACACACACACACAAAGUAAUUUAAGACCAGAAAGGUUUAAAGAGAAUUAGGAACUCUAAGAAAUUAUUUUAAGGAACUAUCAUUCAAAAAAAAUAAUAAGCAAGAGCAAAUUUUGGUAAUUAAGCAGUGGCUUAGAUCUGGGUCCUACUCUGUUUAUAUCGAUUUUUCCUUCUGAGUGUACCCGGGGCACAGGGAUGCAGACAGACCAGGCUGGGCAGGCUCCCCACUGACAGAAUCCAAAGGCAGAGAGACGAGUGUGGUGAGACAAGAAAGGAACUUUUUUCAGGGGAGCUGACAGGAAAACAGCGGCUAGUGUCUCAAAGACUUAACUAGAAGGGUCCAAAAAUGCUUCCAGAUCUAUAUAAGGAAGGGGGGUGGGGGGGGGGCAAAGGUGGGUGGGUCCUCACAGGUGGGCAGUGAAGGUCAGAUCCGUCAAGGCCUUAGACUCCAGCAUGGGCGGGGUCUUGCUGGCUCAGGGCAGCCCUUACCGCUGAGGGGGCAGUCUCCGUGCCCACCAGGCAAUGCUUUGCUCUUAGGGUCUUCCUCCUGAGCCAAGAGACAAGUUGGAAAGAAGAACCCAACUAGAAAGCUUGGGGUCAAAAUGGAGGCAACCCUCUUUCAUGAGCACUUGACUCCAUACAAUUAACUUCAGAGCCCAUCUUUGAUCUCCUCUUCAUUCUGACUCUUUUCAGGUUUUGGGACCUCAGCUUGCGUAGACCCUCUCUGAUGUGGGAACUUCUGUCCCAACAAACUCCCCAUACUCCAUGCUUCCAUUUCUAACCUCAGAGAUACAUCCCCACUCACCCAAGUCCCAAGAGGCUCUGCCUCAUUCUCCCCCAUCCUCGGGGAGGGGGAGUGGCUUACAGACUGCCCAUCGCCCAUGACCCCUCUCCAUGCAAAGGGGAAACUGCCUCAUACAACGAAGGGAAGAGGCAGCAUUGCACUUAAAAGAAGCUAUAACCGCAGAGGAAUGAGGCAUGGAGGAGAAACUACUAGCAUGUGUCUCUAUAGGACUGGACAGGACAUUUCUCGAGUUGCCCCAGGACACCACAUUUACUCUUCUGCCGCACUCUGUGCACCAACCCACUCCCUGUCCUGUUAGGAUGUCCCCCAAGUCACCAAAUCUACCACGGAAAACCCAUGACAAGUUAGUUCGAGUUGAAAGGAAAAUCUCCAAUUUCUUUUCCUGGUACCCGGUUCAAGACAGCAACGGUUCUCUGCUGGGUGCAAGAGAGAGCAGGAAACCGCUGUUCCGGACCGAGACUAGUGAACAGGGAAACUGUUUUUUAAAAUGAUGAGCCACUCGUGGAAGUUUUGGUAUCAUUUCCUCCAAGGACUGGUAAUUAGUUCAGAAGAAAACAUCAGAAAUAGUACUAA